rnacentral:rRNA from 1 species
GAGUUUGAUCAUGGCUCAGAUUGAACGCUGGCGGCAGGCUUAACACAUGCAAGUCGAACGGUAGCAGGAAGAAAGCUUGCUUUCUUUGCUGACGAGUGGCGGACGGGUGAGUAAUGCUUGGGAAUCUGGCUUAUGGAGGGGGAUAACUGUGGGAAACUGCAGCUAAUACCGCGUAGUAUCGAGAGAUGAAAGGGUGGGACCUUCGGGCCACCUGCCAUAAGAUGAGCCCAAGUGGGAUUAGGUAGUUGGUGGGGUAAAGGCCUACCAAGCCGACGAUCUCUAGCUGGUCUGAGAGGAUGACCAGCCACACUGGGACUGAGACACGGCCCAGACUCCUACGGGAGGCAGCAGUGGGGAAUAUUGCGCAAUGGGGGGAACCCUGACGCAGCCAUGCCGCGUGAAUGAAGAAGGCCUUCGGGUUGUAAAGUUCUUUCGGUAAUGAGGAAGGGGUAUUAUUGAAUAGAUAAUAUCAUGACGUAAUACGAGA